rnacentral:pre_miRNA from 1 species
CUAGUACUCCCUCCGUCCGAAAAUACUUCUCAUCAAAAUGGAUGAAAGGGGAUGUAUCUAGAUGUAUUUUAGUUCUAGAUACAUCUCUUUUUAUCUAUUUUGAUGACAAGUAUUUUCGGACGGAGGGAGUAUAUG